rnacentral:lncRNA from 1 species
AUGUCAUACAGUGAUUAAAAACUAUGUAUAUAAGUGACCCAUGUUUCUCUGUAAUCAAAGGAUCAUAAUAAGUUCAUAACUCAGAAACAAAAAUGGUCUCUAGGAAGUGUGCUUUAACAGUAUUCUUGAUGAUGAUGAUGAUGAUUCUAUCCCUCUUAUUCGGCCUCCUGCCGGCAACGGCUUCCAGAUACCCGCAGCCGGAGACGUCGACGACGUCGUCGUCCACAAGUAAGUUCACCGAUCGAGUAUUUUUAUUUUUAUUUCAUCAACGACGGUGAAGUCCAUGCAAAUUAAACUUGUUGUUUAUCAGACGAUCGGGCUCACGGCGGGAAUCACGGCGGGGAUCACGGCGGGAAUCACGGCCAAAAUUGAACAUCUGCUGCUAUAUCAUCACGUACGGCCACCGUUGACGUCGCCGGACUUGCUAUAAAAUGUAAUUUCAACGAUACUAUAUUGCGGGCGGUUGUAAUUUUCCCCACUUUUUUUAGCCGUUUUAUUAAAAAAUUAUAAAUAAAAACUAUUAAAUAAAUAUAUGUUGUGAAUAUUAUAAAAAAUAGAGUGUAAUUAGUAAAANNN